rnacentral:tRNA from 7 species
GGCUCGUUGGUCAAGCGGUUAAGACUCCGGCCUCUCACGCCGGCAACGAGGGUUCGAUUCCCUCACGAGUCACCA